UACGUAGGGGGCAAGCGUUGUCCGGAAUUAUUGGGCGUAAAGAGCGCGUAGGCGGUCCGGUAAGUCGGCUGUGAAAGUCAAGGGCUCAACCCUUGAAAGCCGGCCGAUACUGUCGGACUAGAGUCCGGAAGAGGCGAGUGGAAUUCCCGGUGUAGCGGUGAAAUGCGCAGAUAUCGGGAGGAACACCAAUGGCGAAGGCAGCUCGCUGGGACGGCACUGACGCUGAGACGCGAAAGCGUGGGGAGCGAACAGG
rnacentral:rRNA from 1 species